ACCACCUUGCUAUCUAGAACAGUGUCAACUCAACUAAACAGUCAUCCAUUACCACGCAUAAAGAUCUGAAGGUCCACGCUGUGAAAGAGCAGACAAUUGCAAGGCAUCUCCUCCUUCGCUUUAGUGUAGCACACGUUAGCACAACGUGCACACUUAAAAAAAUUGCUAUUCUCUCCUACAAUGCCUGAUUUUCUCUGCUGACUCUCAGGAUGUAUUUUCCUAUGGUUAAUUUUAUCCUCUUGUAUGUCAUUCCACUCCAGACACCC
rnacentral:lncRNA from 1 species